UGCAGUCAUGUUAGUGUAGUCACCACGCACUAAUUAGACGUGGCCUGCCAGCUAAAUGAAACGGUUCCUUUAGAAAGACAGAUGUUUGGUGCGUACUAAGUGCAUAGAAAACUGAAAGAGAAGAAAGUUUGCGAAUAGAACUAUUAAUGUAGCAUCAAACUCAUAUAUAAGUUAUAUUCAAAUCCAGUUCAUUCCAGUCGCUCAAUUCAUCAAAAGAAAUCUAUAGAACAACAAGAAUAUAACAACAA